AUUGAACGCUGGCGGCAGGCCUAACACAUGCAAGUCGAACGCGUGGCGGACGGGUGAGUAAUGUCUGGGAAACUGCCUGAUGGAGGGGUAUAACCACUGGAAACGGUCGCUAAUACCGCAUACUAUGGUAUGUCCCCAUAUGGGUUUAGCUAGUAGGUGGGGUAAAGGCUCCCCUAGGCGACGCUCCCUAGUUGGUCUGAGAGGAUGACCAGCCACACUGGAACUGAGACACGGUCCAGACUCCUACGGGAGGCAGCAGGGGGGAAUAUUGGACAAUGGGCGCAAGCCUGAUGCAGCCAUGCCGCGUGGAUGAAGAAGGCCUUCGGGUUGUAAAGUACUUUCAGCGGGGAGGCGGUACCCGCAGAAGAAGCACCGGCUAACUCCGUGCCAGCCGCCGCGGUAAUUC
rnacentral:rRNA from 1 species